UUUUAGCUUUCUGUCUCUGCGAGUGAUUUGGGCGGUGAUUUGGGCAGAUCGCUUGCCCAAAUCACUUCUACCUGUUGCCUCCAGGUUUUUGCUUCAGCUUGAUCUGGGCAGUGUUUUGGCCAAAUCACUUUGACCCAAUCACUUUUCCAGUUUUUUCUUCACUUUUUCUCCAACUUUCCAUUUUCUUCUUUUUCUACAAAAACAUAACAAAAACAUAAAUUAAGCUAGAAAAAUGUGUAAUUAAACAGUAAUAAAUAUACUAAAAAUGUGGCUAAAUUAUGCUUGAUCAAAUACCCCCACACCUAACUUUUUUGCUUGUCCUCAAGCAACAAAUAACUUAGUCAAUCAAGCUCCUUUUUCUUUUGAGCCUAAGUGCCACUUAAUCAGCCCCCCCUAGACUCCUAGAUUGAAGCAACACAGUGUAGACUACAUGCACUAAGGUUGUUCUCCCUUUACCUUGUUUCCCUUCACCUACCAUGGUCAAAGGAAAGAUUUUUGAUUCAAUCAUGCUUAUUCUAUUUGUGUAAGCUCAAUGCAACCUCUAAGAGUGACUUGCCCUCCCUUGAGCUUUUUAUUUUAUUCAGCAACACUUUUUUAUUCUUGCCUGAAAAAAUCACUAACCUUUUUACGUGAAGGUGCAUAUUGGUGAUACCCACCCCCGAUUACUCAGUUAGUCACUUGUUCAAGUGGCUACUAGCUCUGUUCAUAGCUUAUUUGACCAUUGUAACAGGUUUAUGAAUUGUGCUUUAUGCUGAUUUUUCUUUUUCUUUUCUUUUCAUGAUGUUUUUGGGCAAAUCAACUUAUAGGAAGUUUACACUAACUUUUUAUUUGCAUGUAUUUGUGUUUUUAUUUCCCUUGACCUUAGCAGAUUGAAGAUUCAAUUUAAGAAAAGAACUUCCUAAGUGAAGGUAGCACACUGUAAGUGAUUCAAUUUAGGCUUAAAGGGGUGGUAAAUCAAUGGGGUCAUGAGAUAGGAAGCUCUUUUAACCUUGUUAUCUAUGCUGAGUAGAGCAAAAGCUAAGUCAAAAUUCUAUGUGUGUGUGUGCAAAAAGUGAAAAAUGUGUGAAAAAAUUUUGGUGUGUGUUUAUGGGGCAAAAAGAUGCAAAAAGAAACAAAAAGAAAGCAAAAAAAUAAUGUAAACAAAAAAAAUAUAACCUAACAGUAAAUACCCCCACACCUAUCCCAAACAUUGUCCUCAAUGGUUAAACAUUUAUAUGAAAAAAAAAAUUAAUAAGGAGAAGGAAAGGGACUGCCUGAUCUGUGGGCGAUUUGGACAGUGAUUUGGGCAAAUCACUCGCCAAAUCACUGUCUGUCAUGGUGGUGGGGCAGAAAAUGGUCCACCAGCAGCUGCAACAUGCUUUCCAUGUGCUGCAUCCUGUCUUCGAUUCUGGUGAGAUGAGCCUCCACCGAAUGGUCUUGAGCUGCCUUUAUGUCCUCCAAGGUCCACCAAUUGCUUCUUUGUGCUUCCUCAACACUUCUAGGAGUUUUUCUUCUUCUUGUGAGCUGAGCUGGUUUGCUGUCUGCUAUCUGCUGGUUGAUUUGGGCAGAUCAUCUGGUGCUGUUUCAGGUGAUCUGGGCAAAUUACUGUCUGUCCUGUUUGUCUGCUCCAGUGAUUUGGUCAGUGAUUUGGGCAAAUCACCUGCAACCAGCUGUGAACAGUACUCCAUCUGGUCUGUCUUGGUGUUGCUGCUGUCUGUCUUUUCAAAUCUGCAUAAGUCAGCAUUGAGUGUGUCCUAUAGAUCAAAGUCAAAAAUUUCUUGACUUAAAUCAUCAAUUAUAUCAAGGCCAUAAACAGGAGAAACAUCAUUGGAGAAUUUCAUGGCAUCAUAAACAUUAAACUUGAUAACUUCCCCUUCAAACUCCAUGGUCAAUGUGCCAUCAUGCACAUCAAUUUUUGUUCUGGCUGUGCUCAAGAAUGGUCUCCCAAGUAGGAUGUCAGAGGUGAUUUUGCCCUUAUCCUCCUCCAUGUCAAUCACAUAAAAAUCUGCUGGGAAGACUAGUUGGUCAACUUGUACCAACACAUCUUCUAGCACUCCCUUGGGAUAGACGACGGAUCGGUCAGCCAAUUGGAUCACAAUGCUGGUGCCCUUGAGUGUGCCUGCAUUCAACAAGUUAAAGAUGGAAAGGGGCAUGACAUUGAUUGAAGCCCCAAGGUCACACAUGGCCUUCUUUAUCUCAACGUUGCCUAUUUUGCAUGAAACAGCGAACAUUCCUCUAUCCUUGCAUUUGGUUGGAAGUUUUCUUUGAAUGACAGCUGAGACACACUCCCCCACACUUACCUUUUCAUGUUCAGCAAGUUUCCUUCGGUUGGUGCAUAACUCUUUGAGAAACUUGGCAUAGCUUAGAAUUUGCUUCACAACAUCUAAUAGGGGAAUGUUGAUUUCUACCUUGCGGAGUGUCUCAAGUAUUUCUUUCUCCUCUUUCUCCUUUUGGGACCUUGCAAAUCUCUUUGAGAAGGGAGGAGGUACCUUAAAUUCUUCCAUUGGUUGCUGGUCUGCCUUGGUCUGCUUGGAGCUGGACUUUGCCUGGAUUAUUCAUUUGGGCAGAUUGAAUUUUGCCUUGUCUGGUGAUUUGGGCAGAUCACUGCUGGGCAGCUCAGUCUGCCUAGCGAUUGGGUCAGUGAUUUGGACAGAUCGACUACCCUGAUCACUUUCUGGCAGAUUCUCCUCCAUGGCCUGUUUCUUCAAUUUCUCAGCCUUGCUAUCUUGCAGCUCUUUUCCACUCCUCAAUGUGAUGGCACUAACAUUUUGUCUUGGAUUUAUCUCAGUUUGGGAUGGUAGCUUCCCUUGUGACUCCCAUUUGCUCAUUGAAGUGGCCAUUUGGCUCACUUGUUGCUCAAGAUUUUGCACAGUAUUUGCUAAGAACUUCACAAUCUCUUCAAGGGGUGUAUUGGACUUUUGAGGUGCAGCUUGAGCUGGAUUCCAUUGCUGAUAGCUUGGAUAUGGAUUGGCCCUUGCAUAGUCAUAAUUCGGGUGGUCCCUCCAACAUGGAUUGUCGGUAUCAAGGUAAGGAUCAUGUCUUGGCUAGCUAUUGAAUCCUCCAAAGGCACGUACUUGCUGGUAAUCCUCAUAAAGUGUAGGACAUCGAUCAGUUGGGUGUCCUACAUAUGUGCAAAUCUCACAUGGUCUGAUUUGAUGAAGUUGUUGAACUUGUUGAGCUUGACCUAUACUAUAAUUUCUCACAAUAGAGGUUAGUUCAGAAAUUUGAGAAGAGAGAAAAGACAUACUUACCAUAGCCAUGCUUGUAAGGUCUUGGCAGUGCGUUCAAUUUCUGGAUCGUAAAAAAGAGCUUCUUUACGAUCAGCCCUGGUCAUAAAAAGGAAAAUACGUUAGUUAGAUCAAAUCCCCGGCAACGGAGCCAAUUUUUGAUAGCGAUUGUCGAAGCCGUUAAAAAUAAACCUAUUAUCAAUCAACAAAUAAAUUUGCAGAUAGUGGCAAUAGGGUCGAACCACAGGGAAUUGACACCAAAGAUUUUCCUAAUAAUGACUAAGGCAAAUAAAUGAUAAAUAAAUAAAAGAGGGGGGUUUUGUUUUGAAGAUGUACUAAAGCUAAUUAACAAUAGAAAGCAAAUAAUUUAAAGAUGAGUAAAUCAAUAAGAGAAAAGUUUCUAGUUGAAGUAUGGAUCUAUUUCAGAUUAUUUAGAAUUGAUCAUUGAUUCUUUAACUGUAACGACCCAAAAAUUGGACCGUCACCGGCGCUAGGAUUCAGGUCGACUUAAGGUCACCGGAACCCGUAGCUAGCCUGCUAUACUCUCUAUGUACCUGUAAAUUCCCAUUCAUGAUCAUAUAUUUUUCAGUGAAAAUAAAAACUCUUCUCUAAUCCAAGGCUCAACCUGUGCAUGCACUGAUAGAGCAUAUUUUAGUCCAUUUUAUCAUUAUGUUCUUGAUGUUUAUUUACAUCUUUUCUGCUUAAUUUUGUGGUUUUAAUUAUGUUUUGCAGAUAUUAGUUGUAAAGAGACAAUCUGGAGAAAAUGCUCUUAAAACUGCGAAAAAGUGCCAAAUAUGGAAAGUUCCAAAAAAGGAAAGUUUCCAAAUAAGAAAAGUUUCCAGAAAAGGAAAGUUUCCAAAUAAGAAAAGUUUCCAGAAAAGGAAAGUUUCCAAAUGUGGAAAGUGCAGAAGCAAAAGCAAACAAGGAAAGCUCAGUCAGAAAAUUAUUUGAAAUUCAAAUCGCAGAUCUUUCUUUCCUUGUUCAAAGAUGUGCACACACUGCAGCAGUCAUAUCUUCCUAUUUAGGCAGUAAGAUCUCAAAGAGAUGCUCUUCCUCUUCUGCGUUCAACAUUCGAAUUUCAAAAGAGGCUCCACCUAAAAGGAAUGUAUGGACAGCAUAUCUUCCCCUUUGAAGAGCAAAAUUCGUGCAUCCUUCCUAUUCAGAAACAAUCUGCGCGCUUUCCUCUUCUGAAAGCCAUCUGCGCGCCACCUUCCUUUUCUGUAACAACUUGGGCAACAAGUUGAGCAUGGGCAGCACCUUGGGCAGCCUCCACACUAAUUAGGAAGCAAGGUCAGCAUCUAAACUUAUUUAGGAAGCACAAUCUGUGCCUCCUUUCCUUUCGGAGACCAAACCGCGCGCACCAACUUCCUUCCGCAAAGCAUUCGCGCGCAGCCUUCCUUCUGAAGCCGAAAAACGUGAUUUUUUCCUUUUCAGACACAACUUGGGCAGAAAAUACCUCUUGGGCAGUAAGUAUGACCUAGGGCAACACUUUUCAACUAUAAAAAGCCACAUAAGGAGCCUCUACAGGUCCCUUAAGCUCCCCUUGGGAGACACCUACGAAAUUCACAUCUCUUCUUCUACCUUUCUUCUUUUCUUUUAUUUUUGGUUUUGUUUCAGCCAUGAGAGGCUGAAAUCUUUUAUUCUAGUUGAAGAUUAGGAGAUACUUUGGUUGUUUUAUAGAUUGGGAGACUUGAUCAAACAUUGUUUAACUUUUGGUUGUUCAAUAUUUAUGCAAUUUCAAGCUUGAUUUCAAUAUUGCUUUGUUGUUUAGAUCUACGUUGAUUCUUGAUUGCAAAGUAAUAGUAUGUUAGUUUGGAUAAUUUAAGUCCGUAAUUGCUUAGAUUAUUCUUACAUAAGAACACUUGGGAUAAAACCCAAGGAAAUUGUAUGAUCUAGCUUUAUCUCCAUACGUUUGGGUAGUUAGGAUUGGAUCUCUCUAUUUCUUAAUGCAAUUGACAAUUAUUUUGAUGCCUAAGGCCCAAGGACGUUCCUUGGAAAUUUGUUAAUUAGUAAUUAAUUAGAGGACGUUCCCUAAUUGGUUUAAUAAUAAGGAGAGAUAAUGGUGGUGAGAAGCGUCUUCCAUCUCCAUAACUAAUCUAUUGAAUCAACCCAAAGGAAACUAAGUGUCAAUGAUCAAUCCCAAUAACUAAAGUGGAUCCAAUCCUUCAACUAGAUCUUUCUUAUUAUUUAUUUCUCUUUAUUUUUAUUAUUUGCCUUAUUUUUAUUGCUUUCAGUUUUAGAUUAAUUAAAUCAAUCUCAAAACCCCUCCAUUUUACUUACAGUUUAGUUGGUUUUAGUUUUAUCUCGUUUUAGUUUAUUUUGCUUUCCGUUUAUUUCUCUUUCAGUUUUAUCUCAUUUCAGUUUUAUCUCGUUUCAGUUUAUCUCGUUUUCAGUUUUAUCUCGUUUCAGUUUUAUCUCAUUUCAGUUUUAUCUCGUUUCAGUUUUAUCUCAUUUCAGUUUAUCUCGUUUUCAGUUUUCUUCUUUUGCAGUUUAUUUUUAUUUCAGUUUAUUUUAUUGGUCUUGAUAAGGAAAAUAGGUAAGUCUUCAAUUCCCUGUGGAUUUGGUCCUUUCACCACUAUCUGCAGUUGUAAAUUGUUGAUAACCAGAAAGGUUAUUUUUAACCGGCUUCGACAACCGCGAGUCAUGCACUCUCUCUGUGCACAGACCCUUUACUGGGUCCACACAAUAUCUGUUAAACCUAGUUUUUCACACACUCAUAAAACAGUUACAUAAACAGAUCAUGUAUACAAAAGGAUUUACAAACCAAAUAAGGCAAGCACCAUUCUAACUUUAUACACAACUAUUACAUCUCUUUAUAAUAUUACAUGUCCACACUAUACUACUACAAAACUUUUUUCUCUUCCUGAACUCUUCUGAACUUUCCCUGUACACUGAACCUGCAACACUGGGGUUAAGGGAGUGGGAUGAGCUACUAUAGCCCAGUGAGUAGAACAAUAAAAUCAGUUAUUAUACAUGUUUUCAUGGAAUGCAUGACAACACAAGUAAGUCACAUCAACUCGGGUGAUCAUAUCCCCAAAUAGUCCCGACAUCCUAUCCUCGUGCUAGGGCGUAGAAUGGGCACCUGGUCUUCCUGUACACAACAUCUGAUACUUACCAUAUACCGUGCCAGGGCGUAGACUGGGCACCUGGUCUUUCUACCGUGCCAGGGCGUAGAAUGGGCACCUGGUCUUACUCAGAGACUAUUGGAUCAUCCAUUUUCACCCACACAGCACAAUGAUAGAAUGCAAUGCAACAUAUUCGUGAUUUCUAAUGCAAUCAACCUAUUGCAUAGUUAUGGUGCAUGAAAUAUGCUCAAAGCAUUCAAUUUCUCAAGUAAAAGAAUUACGUUUAGUUCCAAUCACCUCUGGCUAUCUCUGAACAGACUCUGCAAACUCUGAAGCAGUACUCACUGCUGAACUCUCUGGUUCCUCUGGUCAGUUCCUACAUAGAUGGACUCAAAUGAGUGACCAAACUAGCUCAAGAACAACUCUAUAAAGCUCCCCAAACAUCCCCUUAGAUACCCUAAAACAACCAUGUAAAUCAUGCAAAGGAACGCUGGACAGAGCACAUUCGGCGGCAGGUUCGGCGGCCGAAUGUCCUCUCCAGAGCCGAAACUCAUGCACCUUCGGCGGCCGAACUUUUACUUUCGGCAGCCGAACCCUUUCGGGGGCAAGGUUCGGGGGCGGAAAGGCACUCCAGAGCCGAAAGUCCACAACCUUCUGCGGCACCUUCGGCGGCCGAAACCCCCCUCCAGAGCCGAAAGUCUAAACUCUCGGGGGCAAGCUUAGGCAAUCGAAGCCACCUCCUCAGCAUGUUCGGCGGCCGAUCCUUCCUUCGUCGGCCGAAGCUGGGUUCUUUGGCAAGGCAGAACCUUGCUCUGCCUCACGCCAAACUUCUCCAAUCUUACCCAAACUCAACCACCACAAAUCCUCAACACACAUAUACCCAAGUAUAUGCUCAAAGGGGUCAAAAACUACCUUAUAACCCCAACAAACAACAGAACACAACAUAUAUACAUGCUUUCAUCAACAAAACACCAAAAACAUACCAAGAACCCUAAUCAUGCAACUCUACUCAUAAACUCUAUAAAACCUCCACAAAUCAUAAAAAGAAGUUCAGGAUCUUCACUUACCUCUUGAAAAACAAGAAGAUGAACGAUCCUAGCGUGGAGAUAUGGAGAAACUCUCCCUCAAACUCUCCAAACUUCAAAUCUUGGGUUUUUAGCUCAAAACCUUCAAAACAACAUCAAAACCUAUCAAAACUUUGCAAGAUUUGAUGAAAACAUGAAGAACACCUAAGGAAGACAUGGUCUCACCUCUGUUUGUGAAAGGAAAAGCAAAUCUUAUCCUUUAACCGACUGAGGGCCGGCUGGCCAGACCACCUUCGGCGGCCUAACGUGAAACCAAAAGCCAUGCAUGUUCGGCGGCCGAACGUGAAACCAAAAGCCAUGCAUGUUCGGCGGCCGAACAUCACCUUCGGCGGCCGAACCUGGCUUUUCUUCCUUGGUGCUUUUCUUUCAAAAACUCAUUUCCUUUUCACUUUAAACCUAUAUAUCCUACGAAAAAUACUUUAGAAAAACAUAAAUCUUACCCGUCUAGAGGAUUCCGACAUCCUGGAUCCCACCAGAAAGUAGAAUUCCAAUGCCGAACUCGAGCCGGGUAUUACAUUAACACUCAUAUUUAUUUCAAUAAAUUAGUUUAGGAUGUGGAAGACGCUUCUCACAAUCCAAAUUCCUCCUUAGUUCUAGUUUGAUUAGGAAACGUUCGCUAAUCAAACACUAGUUAACAAGUUGCCAAGGAACGUCCUUGGGGCUUUUAGCAUCGAACAACUGUUAACUGCAUUAAGACUUAGAGAAACCUAAUUCUAAUCUUGCCAACCACGUGGUCAAGUUUAGAUUAUGCAACUUGAUUAAAUAUGUGUUUAAAUAAUCCAAGUAAUUCUGGAACUAAAUUAUUCAAACAAUUGUUACUCAAGCAAUUAAAAGCAAUAGGCCUAAAUUGAUUCUAAAAGCAAAGCAACAAUUAUAGAAAGAUCAAAUUGCAUAAAUAUUGAAAAUAAAUAGAAGUUUAACAAUGGAGAUUUAAAUCUCCCAAUUCAUCACAAAUCUGAAUUUUCCAACUUCAACUAGAAAGGAAUUGUUUUAGCCACUCAUGGUGGACAAAAAUAUACAAAAGAAGAGAAGAAAAGAAGAAAGUAAGUUCUGGUGUAUUUCUGCAGAAUUCCUGAGGAGGAGAGGAUGUUGAGAUGAUGUCCCUUUGCUGGUUUGGAGGCUGCUCUUUUAUAGCUGAAGAAUCCCAUCCAUCUAGGGUUUUGAAAUCCCUUUUUGAUUUGGUUUUUGUUUCCCCUUUUGAUGUUGAAUUUAAUUGCAAAUGGAAUUCCUUAGGUGAGAAACUCUUUCGUGGCUCUUGGAAUUGUGUUGGCAGUGAUUGAGUUGGAUUUGGGCUUCUCAAAAUUCAAAUUUCGGUUCCCUGCACUUUUCCCGCCUCUGCUGUCUGUUUCUGCUAUCAGUGUGAUUGAGGCAGUGAUUUGGGCAUAUCAUUUGCCCCAAUCCCUUUUCCGUGGUCAGUCCAGUUUUUAGCUUUCUGUCUCUGCGAGUGAUUUGGGCGGUGAUUUGGGCAAAUCGCUUGCCUAAAUCACUUCUACCUGUUGCCUCCAGGUUUCUGCUUAAGCUUGAUCUGGGCAGUGUUUUGGCCAAAUCACUUUGACCCAAUCACUUUUCCAGCUUUUUCUUCACUUUUUCUCCAACUUUCCAUUUUCUUCUUUUUCUACAAAAACAUAACAAAAACAUAAAUUAAGCUAGAAAAAUGUGUAAUUAAACAGUAAUAAAUAUACUAAAAAUGUGGCUAAAUUAUGCUU
rnacentral:lncRNA from 1 species